rnacentral:rRNA from 1 species
UACAGGCCAAACCUCCUCAUCAAAGCCUGAUAUCACCUGACCUCAGAAUCUAAGCAGGGCUGGGCCUGGUCAGGACUUGGAUGGAAGACACCUCUGGGAAUACCAGGUGCCACAGUGA